AUUCAUAUAGUUUAUUACAAACAUUUUAUUUUCGUUAAAAAAAUGAUCAGCCAAAGUCUAUGAAUU
rnacentral:tRNA from 1 species